rnacentral:rRNA from 1 species
UACGGAGGGGGCUAGCGUUGUUCGGAAUUACUGGGCGUAAAGCGCACGUAGGCGGCUUUGCAAGUUAGAGGUGAAAGCCCGGGGCUCAACUCCGGAAUUGCCUUUAAAACUGCAUCGCUAGAAUUGUGGAGAGGUAAGUGGAAUUCCGAGUGUAGAGGUGAAAUUCGUAGAUAUCUGGAAGAACACCAAAGGCGAAGGCAGUGUCCUGGGUGGUCGCUGACGCUGAGAGGCGAAAGCCAGGGGAGCGAACGGG